UACGUAGGGGGGCAAGCGUUGUCCGGAUUUACUGGGCGUAAAGAGCGUGUAGGCGGCCAAGCAGGUCCGUUGUGAAAACUGGAGGCUUAACCUCCAGACGUCGACGGAAACCGCGUGGCUAGAGUCCGGAAGAGGAGAGUGGAAUUCCUGGUGUAGCGGUGAAAUGCGCAGAUAUCAGGAAGAACACCAAUGGCGAAGGCAGCUCUCUGGGGACGGUACUGACGCUGAGACGCGAAAGCGUGGGGAGCGAACAGG
rnacentral:rRNA from 1 species